rnacentral:tRNA from 1 species
GAGUUUGAUCGGAUAAGCAAGAACUGCUAAUUACUUACUUCUAUGGUUCAAUUCCAUAGCAAACUCG